rnacentral:rRNA from 1 species
CAAUAGCGUAUAUUAAAGUUGUUGCGGUUAAAAAGCUCGUAGUUGGAUUUCUGCUGAGAACGACCGGUCCGCCCUUUGGGUGUGUAUCUGGCUCUUUCUUGGCAUCUUCUUGGUGAACGUUGCUGCACUUGACUGUGUGGAGCGCUACCCAGGACUUUUACUUUGAGGAAAUUAGAGUGUUUCAAGCAGGCAUACGCCUUGAAUACUCCAGCAUGGAAUAACAAGUAAGGACUUAGGUUCUUCUUGUUGGUUUAGGGACCUUAGUAAUGAUUAAGAGGAACAGUCGGGGGUAUUCGUACUUGGUAGUCAGAGGUGAAAUUCUUGGAUUUACCAAAGACGAACUACUGCGAAGGCAUCUACCAUGGAUGUUUUCAUUA